UACGGGGCGCAGCAGUGGGGAAUUUUGGACAAUGGGGAAACCUGAUCCAGCCAUCCCGCGUGUGCGAUGAAGGCCUUCGGGUUAUGGCUUACUUUUGGCAGAAAGAAACGGCGCAGGAUAAUACCCGUGCAACUGACAAACACCUGCAGAAUAAGCACCGGCUAACUACGUGCCAGCAGCCGCGGUAAUACGUAGGGUGCAAGCGUUAAUCGGAAUUACUGGCGUAAAGCGUGCGCCGAGCGGUUUCGAAGAAGGAAUCUUGAAAUCCUGAGCUUAACUUUGAACUCAUUUUUAGCUACCGAGCUAGAGUGUCAGAGGGAGGUGGAAUUCCGCGUGUAGCAGUGAAAUGCGUAGAUAUGCGGAGGAACACCGAUGGCGAAGGCAGCCUCCUGGGAUAACACUGACGCUCAUGCACAGCGAUGAGGGGAGCAAACAGGAUUAGAUACCCUCAUGGU
rnacentral:misc_RNA from 1 species